AAGUCGUAACAAGGUUUCCGUAGGUGAACCUGCGGAAGGAUCAUUACAAGUGAGGCUACCGAACGCUGGAAUCAGUCGGUUAGGAGCUUACAUACCCACCCGGUGGUUUACAUACUAUUCGUUGCCUUUAGGGCGGGCCGUGGGCCUCCACUGCGGGCUCUGCUCGUGUGUGCCCGCCAGAGGACCAAACUCUGAAUGUUAGUGAUGUCUGAGUACUAUCUAAUAGUUAAAA
rnacentral:misc_RNA from 1 species